GGAAGUGAAAGUCGUAACAAGGUUUCCGUAGGUGAACCUGCGGAAGGAUCAUUAAAGAGAAUAUGCCCUUCGGGGUAGAUCUCCCACCCUUUGUUUAUAUUACCUUUGUUGCUUUGGCAGGCCCGUCUUCGGACCACCGGCUUCGGCUGGUCAGUGCUUGCCAGAGGACCCAAAACUCUUAUUAUUAAUGUCGUCUGAGUACUAUAUAAUAGUUAAAACUUUCAACAACGGAUCUCUUGGUUCUG
rnacentral:misc_RNA from 1 species